rnacentral:rRNA from 1 species
GACGAACGCUGGCGGCGUGCUUAACACAUGCAAGUCGAACGGACCCUUUGGGGUUAGUGGCGAACGGGUGAGUAACACGUGGGUGAUCUGCCCUGCACUUUGGGAUAAGCCUGGGAAACUGGGUCUAAUACCGGAUAGGACUACGCACUGCAUGGUGUGUGGUGGAAAGCUUUUGCGGUGUGGGAUGGGCCCGCGGCCUAUCAGCUUGUUGGUGGGGUGAUGGCCUACCAAGGCGACGACGGGUAGCCGGCCUGAGAGGGUGACCGGCCACACUGGGACUGAGAUACGGCCCAGACUCCUACGGGAGGCAGCAGUGGGGAAUAUUGCACAAUGGGCGCAAGCCUGAUGCAGCGACGCCGCGUGAGGGAUGACGGCCUUCGGGUUGUAAACCUCUUUCGCCAGGGACGAAGCGCAAGUGACGGUACCUGGAGAAGAAGGACCGGCCAACUACGUGCCAGCAGCCGCGGUAAUACGUAGGGUCCGAGCGUUGUCCGGAAUUACUGGGCGUAAAGAGCUCGUAGGUGGUUUGUCGCGUUGUUCGUGAAAACUCACAGCUUAACUGUGGGCGUGCGGGCGAUACGGGCAGACUGGAGUACUGCAGGGGAGACUGGAAUUCCUGGUGUAGCGGUGGAAUGCGCAGAUAUCAGGAGGAACACCGGUGGCGAAGGCGGGUCUCUGGGCAGUAACUGACGCUGAGGAGCGAAAGCGUGGGGAGCGAACAGGAUUAGAUACCCUGGUAGUCCACGCCGUAAACGGUGGGUACUAGGUGUGGGUUUCCUUCCUUGGGAUCCGUGCCGUAGCUAACGCAUUAAGUACCCCGCCUGGGGAGUACGGCCGCAAGGCUAAAACUCAAAGGAAUUGACGGGGGCCCGCACAAGCGGCGGAGCAUGUGGAUUAAUUCGAUGCAACGCGAAGAACCUUACCUGGGUUUGACAUGCACAGGACGCCGGCAGAGAUGUCGGUUCCCUUGUGGCCUGUGUGCAGGUGGUGCAUGGCUGUCGUCAGCUCGUGUCGUGAGAUGUUGGGUUAAGUCCCGCAACGAGCGCAACCCUUGUCUCAUGUUGCCAGCACGUUAUGGUGGGGACUCGUGAGAGACUGCCGGGGUCAACUCGGAGGAAGGUGGGGAUGACGUCAAGUCAUCAUGCCCCUUAUGUCCAGGGCUUCACACAUGCUACAAUGGCCGGUACAAAGGGCUGCGAUGCCGUGAGGCGGAGCGAAUCCUUUCAAAGCCGGUCUCAGUUCGGAUCGGGGUCUGCAACUCGACCCCGUGAAGUCGGAGUCGCUAGUAAUCGCAGAUCAGCAACGCUGCGGUGAAUACGUUCCCGGGCCU